rnacentral:rRNA from 1 species
CGAGCGGCGGACGGGUGAGUAAUGUCUGGGAAACUGCCUGAUGGAGGGGGAUAACUACUGGAAACGGUAGCUAAUACCGCAUAAUGUCGCAAGACCAAAGUGGGGGACCUUCGGGCCUCAUGCCAUCAGAUGUGCCCAGAUGGGAUUAGCUAGUAGGUGGGGUAACGGCUCACCUAGGCGACGAUCCCUAGCUGGUCUGAGAGGAUGACCAGCCACACUGGAACUGAGACACGGUCCAGACUCCUACGGGAGGCAGCAGUGGGGAAUAUUGCACAAUGGGCGCAAGCCUGAUGCAGCCAUGCCGCGUGUGUGAAGAAGGCCUUCGGGUUGUAAAGCACUUUCAGCGGGGAGGAAGGCGAUAAGGUUAAUAACCUCGUGCGAUGACGUACCCGCAGAAGAAGCAUC